GGAAGGAUGAGCUUUGUGGUUAAAACACUGGAUUGGGACUCAGGAGAUCUAGGUUCAAUUCCUAGCUCUGCCA
rnacentral:tRNA from 1 species